AUACUUACCUGGCACUGGAGAAACCAUGAUUAGGAAGGUAGUUUUCCCAAGGCAAGGCUCAUACAUUGCACUUAGGAUGUGCUGACCCCUGUGUGUUUUCCCCAAAUGUGGGAAACUUGAAUGCAUAAUUUGUGAUAGUGGGGAACUGCAUUCAUGCUCUCCCCUG
ensembl:snRNA U1 U1 spliceosomal RNA